AUUAUUUUUUCUGUAGUGAAAAUGGUAUGUAGGAAUUUCGGACGCGGGUUCAACUCCCGCCAGCUCCACCA
rnacentral:tmRNA from 1 species